AACCCCGCCUUGGCCUGUAUCCCAAAGAGAUCAGACAGGGUCUAUUUGAACAAAACUGUCCAAAGCCGCUCUGAGUGGUGGCGAAACACUGGGAAGGGAAGGGACGUCCAUCCCGUGGGGAGCCUGCGAUCAUGAUGGGACACUCUGAGCGGCACGACGAGAAGUGGCGAGCGGGACAGGCUCAGAAAAGCCUGGGGAGGCUUAUAGGCUAGGAGGCGAAGCAGAUCUCCACCGUAACAGCAGCAUCGCGGCACGCUCAGUCCAGAGGAAACGCCAUCCACCUCCUGACAGAGAAUGGAUGAACCGAGUGCCGGCGGAAGCAGACUGUUUCCACUCUUUCUUGUGUGUGUGUGUUUCCUUUGGCAGCGUGGCUCAUAUGGAGAUGGCUUUGUAUGUUUCCACGUGUAAAACUGAAAUAAUGCUUCCUGGCAUCUCAGUGGGUUGGGGAAGAGCGGAAGAGAGGAAGAGAAUUUAGAACUCAAAAAAAAGGGUUUCAAUGAAAUUUUAAAAUGGUUUUUAAGGCGAAAAAAGACCACUUCUGGGAAAGAGGCAAAGAAGAGAGAGAGAGCAGAGCGUCUCGGCGCUCAUCUUGCUUCUAUUCUCUCCCGCAAAGAGAAGGAUUUUGGCCUGGGAUGGGCAGAGCCACCACUGCCGAAUCCGAGGAAACGAUACAAAGCAGGGACUGCCAGUUUCCCAGAGUCCUCUCAUUUUAUUCUGCUGAGUAAAAGGAAAUGCUCUCUUUCCUGCUCCUUCAGUUCUGAAUUUUUGCAGCCUCCUUUCCCCUACAGAAGGGAGGGCAGAAUAAUUGGGGCCCAACUCAAAAUCCUCCAAGAAACUCUCAGAGGCCUGGCUUGGUCUUGCUCUCUCUCCAGUGACCUCACUCCCCAGCCCCUCUCAGACUCUAAAUCCCUCUCAAAAUGCUCAGACAAACAAGUCCACCCUGGGACUGAGCCUCACUGAUGGACCCAUCGAAGUUCCGGCUGUUUCUUCCCUCUCCCAGGCCCUCUGGGUGAUUUCAGCCCCAGGGACGGAGCCCUUUCUUUUUCCUGGAGACAUGGCUUGGCCAGAGGCUCCCAGUGUCCUCUUCCAUCUAUAUCACAGCUGGUGAUAGGACUGAUCCAACUUUCCUUCCCUGAAGAGAUGUGCAUUUGCCCUUUUUCAAUCAAGUGGAAGAGCCUCCCUUUGGUGGGUUUCCUCUUCCCAUCUACAAGGCCUCCCCUUGUCCCCCUGCUAAUAGUCAUGAGGUUAGUUUGCUCCAUCCCAAGUCUAUAGCCUGGUCCACCGUCCCAUCUUUCUGUCCCAGUGACUCUCCUCUCCAUUCCCUGAUUGGUACAGUGGAAAGAACCUUGGGUUUGGAAUCUUGGAGAUGGAGUCACACAGGGAUGACUUUGACUAAGUCCCUUUCCCUCUCCUAGACUCAAUAAAGUGAGGAGGUUGAAUCGAAUGAUCUCUAGAACUUUUUCCAGGUACAAAUUCCAGGAUCUCCUCCACCCAGAGCCCUCUCUUGCUCUCAGUUAGCUGCCAACUAGUCUACUUAAGUGUUCAUUCAUCCCAAGAGUGUUUGGAUUCUUGCUACAGUUUAUAAUGCAAAGGACUGAAUCCAAAAUGGCAGGCGUUUGGGUGACCGGCAGUAACAGUGCUUUGGAGAGUGACGGGGACCUUCCAGAAACAGUGCAAGAAUCAAAUGAAUCAUUUUCCAGAGAAGGGAACUGAGGGCACAUGAGGUAAAAUGGCUGCAUCCUCAUUGCCUCUUCUUCAUCUUCAGAGGCCACCCAGCAGAUGGAAUUACUCUCUGAACAGACAUCCUGCUCCUCCAUCCUCCACUCAAUGGCUUUUGACCACAGGAAUAUACUGAGUCACAGAACUGAAGAGCUGGAGGGGACUUCAGUGGCCAUCCAUGUAAGCCAAUGCCUUCUGCCAUACUCCCCCAACAAGUUCAUCCAGCUUCUGCUUGCAGACCCCCGAGGACAGGGUACCCACCACCCCUCCAGGCAGCCCGUGGACUUCUGGACGACCCUAAUUAUUAGCAGAGUGCUCCUGGUCUUCAGCCUCGGUCUGCCUCUUUGUGCCUUGUACCUACUGCCCGUGCUAAUGGUCUGGGGAACCAAGCAAAGAAGUAUGAUGGCCCAUCAGUCAUCCCAUGAGUCUUCUCCAGGCUGAGUAAUGAACAACGUGGGGUCCUUCCCUUCUCUCCAAGCCAUUUUCCUCUCCUGGGAAAUGAGUCUCCAACUGGCCAGUGGUCUUCCUUUCAUCCUCUGCCGUCAGACUUCCUCCUACAUUUCUAAGAUGCUGCUACAAGCCAGUUUUCUUGGUGCCCCCCUGGAGCCCCAGGAAUGGUACCCUCCAGGAACCAGAAGGAGAGAAAGGCAGAGGAAGGGCGGAUGCGGCCCCUUCGAUGACUUAGCCUUGGGGUGUGAUCUCAGAGCAGCUGAGAAAGUGAAGGUCCCCUUGAUGGAACCAGGAGGCAGGAGGGGCUCAGCCUCAGGAAGCCUUCCCUAGUGCCUGGGAGACCGAGGCGAGGCUCCAAAUGGCAACGACCAGAGACGAUGGCCAGGCCCCCUUGGGUCAGUCAAGCCGUGUCUUCAUGCAUGCAAUACUCAUUCAGUUCCACGCAUCUGAAUUCGCGAGCGUCACUCUGGGCCAGUGCCACUUGGGACCAGGAUCCCGAAUUUGGCAGGGGAAGGGACCAGAGGAUAUCUAGGCCAAGCCUCUCAUGUUGCAUGGGAGGAAACCGAGGCCAAGGGAAAUUAAGGUGGCAAAUGGCAAAGCCAGGACUAAGCCGGGGCUCCUCUCCCCCACCCCAAUUUUUUUCUUAGCCCCUGCACCUAGCAUGUAAGUGUUACGUGGUCUACUUUUAGUAUUCUAAAGCUUAGCAGGAAAACACAAAUGCCCACAGGAUGGAUUCACGGGGGAGUCAGCAGCUGGCUGAGAGGAGAGAAGGCCCUGGGAGGAGGAGGGCCAAAGAGCAAAGGACUGGAAGGGAGCCUCCUGUCCCACCACUUCCGCCGAACUCUGAGGAAAGAAGGAAAAGGAAGACUUGCUGACUGAUCCGUGGCGACCGGCCAUGCCGCAGGGGGCAGAACUUCUGUUCAGCAGCUCCCCCUCCGGUGAGGGCUCAGGCUCUGCCUCCGACUCCUCGGCUCCGGCCAUCCGCUCCAGCCGCUCCGCAUCACUGAGGCUUUCUACGAAGCCCCAUCGAGGACCUCGCAGGUAAAGCAAGCGGCUGUUGGAGCCCUUGGCUUGGCUCAGAGGACGUUAGGAACCGGGCAUGAGCUUGGGCGAGCAAAUGGCUCCGAUGCCAACACCACCACCGCUAGCGAGAGGGAAAUGAAGUCAAGAAGCCCUUGCUUUGUCCCCUCCCCCACCAGGACCUCCAGAAAAGAGGCUUCUCCUUAUUUGGGCUAUUCUUCUUCUUCUUCCUUUUUUUUAAUUAAACCCUCACCUUCUGUCUCAGAGUCAAUACUGUGUAUUGGCUCCAAGGCAGAAGAGUGGUCAGGGCUAGGCCAUGGGGGUCAAGUGACUUGCCCAGGGUCACACAGCUGGGAAGUGUCUGAGGCCAGAUUUGAACCUAGGACCUCCCGUCUCUAGGGCUGGCUCUUAAUCCACUGAGCUACCCAGCUGCCCCCUUUUGGCUAUUCUUCAAAAGAGGAUGUACUUAUAAGCCUCGCUGGCAAAAACCGUCUAGAGGAGAACUUCUGAGCUCUCAAGCUGAAGAAAUCAGGACAAAGGGCAAUAUGAUCACACUCCAGCUGAAUGCAGUCUUUAAGGGUGCCUCUAGCCCAGAGGCUGCCCUUCCUCAUUCAUGUAUUUAUUACAUAAGCAUAUUUUUAAAGCCUUAUCUUCCAUCUUGGAAUCAAUACUGUGGAUUGAUUCUAAGGCAGAAAAGUGGUAAGGCCUAGGCCAUGGGGGUCAAGUGACUUGCCCAGGGUCACACAGUGCAUAAGAGGGAAUGACUAGUAAUGAAAAAUUGAAUUUUGAAGAAAUGUCUCAGAAGAAGAGCAGAUGGAACCCCAGAUGACAUCGGGGGAUGGGAUGGAAUUUCCAGCCAGGCUCAAAAGGCCGUUGGGGGAACACCAAGAGGUCUUGUCCUGGGUUCCUGGAGCCGGGAGGGAGAACUACACUUGGCUGGGGAGAUACACAAAUCUCUCAAUCCUUUCACCUGAGCAGCAGAAGAUCUUCUCUCUCAACUGGUCACAAUCUUUAGGAUAAAGACUCCUUUUUUCCCUUAGGGGAACCCAGAGCUUCUUUCUAAAGAAGACUUCCUGGUUCAAACCCUCAAGACCUGUAUAGGGAAGAUCACUAGGGAUUUCCUUUUCCCCGUCCUGUUUACCCUUCAACCCUCUAUAUUUAAACAAAAUGGACAUCUUGAUUUGAAUAGAAA